rnacentral:rRNA from 1 species
CCUACGGGGUGCAGCAGUAGGGAAUCUUCGGCAAUGGACGAAAGUCUGACCGAGCAACGCCGCGUGAGUGAAGAAGGUUUUCGGAUCGUAAAACUCUGUUGUUAGAGAAGAACAAGUAGGAGAGUAACUGCUCUUACCUUGACGGUAUCUAACCAGAAAGCCACGGCUAACUACGUGCCAGCAGCCGCGGUAAUACGUAGGUGGCAAGCGUUGUCCGGAAUUAUUGGGCGUAAAGCGCGCGCAGGCGGUUCCUUAAGUCUGAUGUGAAAGCCCACGGCUCAACCGUGGAGGGUCAUUGGAAACUGGGGGACUUGAGUGCAGAAGAGGAGAGCGGAAUUCCACGUGUAGCGGUGAAAUGCGUAGAGAUGUGGAGGAACACCAGUGGCGAAGGCGGCUCUCUGGUCUGUAACUGGCGCUGAGGCGCGAAAGCGUGGGGAGCAAACAGGAUUAGAUACCCGCGUAGUC